rnacentral:rRNA from 1 species
AGAGUUUGAUCCUGGCUCAGGACGAACGCUGGCGGCGUGCCUAACACAUGCAAGUCGAGCGGAGACAGUGAGUAGCUUGCUAUGAGCUGUUUUAGCGGCGGACGGGUGAGUAACGCGUGAGCAACCUUUCCCAGACAGGGGAAUAACACACCGAAAGGUGUGCUAAUACCGCAUAAGACCACGGGAUCACAUGGUUCUGGGGUAAAAGAUUUAUCGGUUUGGGGUGGGCUCGCGUCCGAUUAGGUAGUUGGUGAGGUAACGGCCCACCAAGCCGACGAUCGGUAGCCGACCUGAGAGGGUGAUCGGCCACAUUGGGACUGAGACACGGCCCAAACUCCUACGGGAGGCAGCAGUGGGAAUAUUGGGCAAUGGGGGAAACCCUGACCCAGCAACGCCGCGUGGAGGAAGAAGGUUUUCGGAUCGUAAACUCCUGUCCUUGGAGACGAGUAGAAGACGGUAUCCAAGGAGGAAGCCCCGGCUAACUACGUGCCAGCAGCCGCGGUAAUACGUAGGGGGCAAGCGUUGUCCGGAAUAAUUGGGCGUAAAGGGCGCGUAGGCGGCUCGGUAAGUCUGGAGUGAAAGUCCUGCUUUUAAGGUGGGAAUUGCUUUGGAUACUGUCGGGCUUGAGUGCAGGAGAGGUUAGUGGAAUUCCCAGUGUAGCGGUGAAAUGCGUAGAGAUUGGGAGGAACACCAGUGGCGAAGGCGACUAACUGGACUGUAACUGACGCUGAGGCGCGAAAGUGUGGGGAGCAAACAGGAUUAGAUACCCUGGUAGUCCACACUGUAAACGAUGAAUGCUAGGUGUAGGGGGUAUCGACCCCUUCUGUGCCGCAGUCAACACAAUAAGCAUUCCGCCUGGGGAGUACGGCCGCAAGGUUGAAACUCAAAGGAAUUGACGGGGGCCCGCACAAGCAGCGGAGCAUGUGGUUUAAUUCGACGCAACGCGGAGAACCUUACCAGGUCUUGACAUCCACUUAAACUUACAGAGAUGUAAGGUGUGCUUGCACAAAGUGAGACAGGUGGUGCAUGGUUGUCGUCAGCUCGUGUCGUGAAAUGUUGGGUUAAGUCCCGCAACGAGCGCAACCCUUAUCUUCAGUUACUAACGCGUAAAGGUGAGGACUCUGAAGAGACUGCCGGGGACAACUCGGAGGAAGGUGGGGACGACGUCAAAUCAUCAUGCCCCUUAUGACCUGGGCUACUCACGUGCUACAAUGGCCACGACAGAGAGAAGCGAAAUCGCAAGGUAGAGCGGAACUCAAAAAAGUGGUCCCAGUUCGGAUUGUGGGCUGCAACCCGCCCACAUGAAGUCGGAGUUGCUAGUAAUCGCGGAUCAGCAUGCCGCGGUGAAUACGUUCCCGGGCCUUGUACACACCGCCCGUCACACCAUGGGAGUUGGGAGUGCCCAAAGCCGGUGAGGCAACCGCAAGGAGCCAGCCGUCUAAGGCAAGACCAAUGACUGGGGUGAAGUCGUAACAAGGUA